rnacentral:rRNA from 1 species
UACGGAGGGUGCAAGCGUUAUCCGGAUUCACUGGGUUUAAAGGGUGCGUAGGUGGAAUGGUAAGUCAGUGGUGAAAUCUCCAAGCUUAACUUGGAACUGCCCGUUGAUACUAUCAUUCUUGGAAUAUCGUAGGAGGUGAGCGGAAUAUGAUCAUGUAGCGGUGAAAUGACUUAGAUAUGACAUAGAACACCGAUUGCGAAGGCAGCUCACUACGCGAUUAUUGACACUGAGGCACGGAAAGCGUGGGGAUCAAACAGG